rnacentral:tRNA from 1 species
UGGCUCAGAUGGUAAAGAAUCUGCCUGCAACGCAGGAGACCCAGGUUCGAUCCCUGG